UUUGAUAUCCCAUGAACUGCUGAAGUCCUGUGAUACACAGUAACGCUUGAAGUUAAGCCAAAUACUAACCAAAGGAGACAUGGAAAAGUUAAAUUACCAAUGCAAUGCCAUCACUAAGUUCAGCACAAUCGGUGCUCAGUGAAUAGGCUGCAAAUCUUAUAAUUAUUCCGUGUUUAUCCAACAUCUAAGUCAUAAUUCUGCAGGUGGUUUGUACAACACAACAAAGAAGAUUAAAUAACAAAAAAGAAGGGUGACAUAGUGCACGAAGCAUUCCACACUUGUGGGAUUUGUGGAGUGUUGAUGUACGCAACUUACCUCUGUGUUACGUACUACAGAAGAAGGAAGAGGAAUGUUGAUAAAUAGUUUACUUAGUUGGGGUAAAAUGGAGGGAAUUGUUGUAACAGCUUUUGGUGGGAAUUACUUGUAUCAAUUGAGUCAGUUGCAGCUGACUGAUUCUGUUUUGAGUUUGUUAGAGGGUAGUUACUACUUUGCCUACAAAAGUAAUAGACACUACUGUAAUCAAUUCAUUCAAGAAUGAUAUUCAUCAAUGAAAUUUCUCUCAUCUCUAUAUUCUUUUCUCUCCUCAUCUAACUCUAUUUCUCUUCUCACCUCAUUUCUCUCUGUUUUUUUGAAACCCUGUCCAGUAUCUGUUCAACCUCUAUUUUAGGGAUUGAUUCAGGUCUGUUACCUUACAUUUGGUAUCAGAGGUGUUAGAUCAGUGGGCAACUGCUGAAAAUUGUUUCCAUCUAUGGCAGAUUACUCUUCCUAAAAUACCAGGUUUCUUUCUUCUUCUUCUUCUUCUGGUCUUUAUCGGUUCUCCAAUACCUUCUCCCAAAUCAAUUUAUAAUCUAGAAACCACACAGCCCUACAUGCAAUUUAAGUUCCUCUUUAAAUCUUAACUCAAAAGGCCAACAAAACACAUUUCAAGAUUUUGGACACCGAUUAAAUGAGAACCCUAAGAAGGAAAAUCUCUGAAAGUUGAGGUAGCUAGAGAAGAUAAAACAAUAAUUAAGCAAAAAAAGAAGCAGAAGAAGAAGAAAGAUAAUUAAGAAAGAGGAAGAACAGCACAACAAACCCCAUGGGACAUAUAGAUUCCUCUUUCCCUACCAAUCCCUUUGUUUUAAAUACUAGGUUUUGAACAAGUGAGGUUACUGUGGUUCUUCUUUGAUUUGGCGUCAUGAAGAUAUGCUAACACAUAGACAUUAAAAGCAUUCUCCUCUCUUUUUUUCUCUUUUUCUUUUUUCCUUUUUUUUCACGGUUUUUACUGAUUUUGAUCCAUGUUGCUUUCCUGCCUUAAAUGAUAUUUUUGCAAAAUUGAAAGCUUAAUUCUCUGUCUCUGUGUGUGUGUGUGUGUG
rnacentral:misc_RNA from 1 species